CAUUAUCUGGUACAGGCCAAGGUGCGCAUUCACCUCCAGCUGGUGAUUCUACUCCUAGGUAUCGAUGCCCUGGAAGAAUCUGUGCCUUGGAGAACAGUGUUGGUGGGAACAGCGGUGCAAUAGGCAGAGGGAAUGUUGUGACCGUCCGCUCCGAGCUACUGUGGUGGUUUCUGCUGUGGGCCUGUGACAGAUCAUGUGACAGUCACAGGAUGCGGCCAUCAGCAGCCAUGAACCUCACACACGUAAGAUCGAGUGAGAAAAGGAAGUGUGCAAGUCCCGGACAGUGGUUCCCUGUAGGAGGGAGGGCACACGGCGUACCCAGCCACUGCUGCUACUUCGCAUGUCGCAUUCUGAGAUUCUGAAUGGAGGUGAAUUUUGGGAGGAUGCCAGUCAACCCACUACACGUUUGUCCUGUGUUUCAUUGUUUAUAAGAUGCUUGUGCUUCCCAGCACACCUGCAAGUUUCUCAGAUGGCUUUCCUGGGAAACACCAUCAGACAGAGGCCCCAGCGGGUCCCGUGUCUGACUCUGAAACCGCAGCACCCGGCCGCAGGCCGGGCACACAGUGGGCCUCAUCACUUGUCAGCUUACCAGCCUCCUGGCCUUCCCAGACUCUCACGUGGGGCCCAAGCAGAAGCGCAGCAAGCACGAGGCCAACAGAGGCGUGACCGCACGCAUGCUCUACCGCUGGUCCUCGGAGAAAAGCUUGGUCUUCCCUGGGUGUGGAAUACCUUCCCCUGCUUCCCACAAGGGCCCCCUUGGUGGGAAAGGACAGCGGCUGGGAGAUGUGCGGGCCGCUGGGACUGGGGAGGGGCCUCCCUCCUCCCCAUGAGGCCUGGAAAGGGCAGGGGCGCAUGCUGAUGGCCUGAACCUCGGUUCCCCAGGAAGGGCUGGUGGGACUCUAGAGAAAUCCAGAUGCUUUCUCCUCUGUCUGUAUCCAAAAUGUUUUCUAGUGGGACUCCUGGGUGGCUCAGGGGUUGAGCAUCUGUCUUCAGCUCAGGGCAUGAUCCUGGAGUCCCAGGAUCGAGUCCCACAUCGGGCUCCCUGCAUGGAGCCUGCUUCUCCCUCUGCCUGGGUCUCUGCCUCUCUCUCUCUCUCUCUCUCUCUCUCUGUCUUUCAUGAA
rnacentral:lncRNA from 1 species